rnacentral:rRNA from 1 species
GUCCACGCCCUAAACUAUGUCGACUAGUUGUUGGGGGAAAUUGUCCCUCAGUAACGUAGCUAACGCGUGAAGUCGACCGCCUGGGGAGUACGGUCGCAAGAUUAAAACUCAAAGGAAUUGACGGGGACCCGCACAAGCGGUGGAUUAUGUGGAUUAAUUCGAUGCAACGCGAAAAACCUUACCUACCCUUGACAUGCCAGGAACCUCGCAGAGAUGUGAGGGUGCCCGAAAGGGAACCUGGGCACAGGUGCUGCAUGGCUGUCGU